AGAAUGGAGCCCUCCUGGCUUCAGGAACUCAUGGCUCACCCCUUCUUGCUGCUGAUCCUCCUCUGCAUGUCUCUGCUGCUGUUUCAGGUAAUCAGGUUGUACCAGAGGAGGAGAUGGACGAUCAGAGCCAUGCACCUGUUUCCUGCACCCCCUGCGCACUGGUUCUAUGGCCACAAGGAGUCUUACCCAGUAAAAGAGUUUGAGGUGUAUCCUGAGCUGAUGGAAAAAUACCCAUGUGCCGUUCCCUUGUGGGUUGGACCCUUUACGAUGUUCUUCAAUAUCCAUGACCCAGACUAUGUCAAGAUUCUCCUGAAAAGACAAGAUCCCAAAAGUGCUGUUAGCCACAAAAUCCUUGAAUCCUGGGUUGGUCGAGGACUUGUGACCCUGGAUGGUUCUAAAUGGAAAAAGCACCGCCAGAUUGUGAAACCUGGCUUCAACAUCAGCAUUCUGAAAAUAUUCAUCACCAUGAUGUCUAAGAGUGUUCGGAUGAUGCUGAACAAAUGGGAGGAACACAUUGCCCAAAACUCACGUCUGGAGCUCUUUCAACAUGUCUCCCUGAUGACCCUGGACAGCAUCAUGAAGUGUGCCUUCAGCCACCAGGGCAGCAUCCAGUUGGACAGUACCCUGGACUCAUACCUGAAAGCAGUGUUCAACCUUAGCAAAAUCUCCAACCAGCGCAUGAACAAUUUUCUACAUCACAACGACCUGGUUUUCAAAUUCAGCUCUCAAGGCCAAAUCUUUUCUAAAUUUAACCAAGAACUUCAUCAGUUCACAGAGAAAGUAAUCCAGGACCGGAAGGAGUCUCUUAAGGAUAAGCUAAAACAAGAUACUACUCAGAAAAGACGCCAGGAUUUUCUGGACAUACUUUUGAGUGCCAAAAGUGAAAACACCAAAGACUUCUCUGAAGCAGAUCUCCAAGCUGAAGUGAAAACGUUCAUGUUUGCAGGACAUGACACCACAACUACUGCUAUCUCCUGGAUCUUUUACUGCUUGGCAAAGUACCCUGAGCAUCAGCAGAGAUGCUGAGAUGAAAUCAGGGAACUCCUAGGGGAUGGGUCUUCUAUUACCUGGGAACACCUGAGCCAGAUGCCUUACGCCACAAUGUGCAUCAAGGAAUGCCUCCGCCUCUACGCACCGGUAGUAAACAUAUCCCGGUUACUCGACAAACCCAUUACCUUUCCAGAUGGACGCUCCUUACCUGCAGGAAUAACUGUGUUUAUCAAUAUUUGGGCUCUUCACCACAACCCCUAUUUCUGGGAAAACCCUCAGGUCUUUAACCCCUUGAGAUUCUCCAGGGAAAGUUCUGAAAAAAUGCAUCCCUAUGCCUUCAUACCAUUCUCAGCUGGAUUAAGUAAUUCUAAUUUCCUUGCUGGAUCUGGUGAAACCCACAGAAACACCUGAAAAAACUCAAGCUGACUUCCACUGCGAAGGGAAAU
ensembl:lncRNA CYP4Z2P cytochrome P450 family 4 subfamily Z member 2, pseudogene